UGCAAUUAGAUAAUUUACUCACCACAUCCACAGAGCUGCUAUUAUGAGAAACUGAGCACAGGAAUACUGUUGAAGCUCUUCAUUGCUGACUGAGUCCAGGUACAGCUUGUUGUCUUUAGUGAAUCCAUCUGUUACCUGUCGUCCGUUCUUGUACCAGAUUAUAUCACAGUUUGACAAAAGACUGCCUCUGCAGAAGAGGACCAACGCCUACUUCUACAUCAUUGCCUCUUUAGCCCCACCCACUAAUUUACGUAUGUAGAAAGUUAGAGGUCAGUAAAUAAGACAGUGACCCAAACACCGGCAGGGUUUGCACGUGUCGUGAAAAACCUGGAAAAUUUAUGGCGUAUUUUCCAGUCCUGGAAAAUACAAAUGAGAGAAAAUGUAAAAUGUCCUGGAAAACCUUAUAGUUGUCCUGGAAAACUAUUUUUAAAAGUAUUUUGUGUUUUCCAAUGUCAUUUGUGUGGAAAUAUUACAAAGUCUGUAAACAGAACAUUACUAGAGCCCAGCGAUACUUUCAAAGAGGGGAAAAUACUAUCGCAGGCUGCAGCUAACUUGUUCACGAUUUGCGAAAUAUUGGAAGAAAAUAUAUAAUAUUGAAUUAAGGAGUGGGGUUACAUAAAUGCAUCUCUGAGGGGAACUGACUGUCUUAAGAAAUGUUUAGAUGUUUUUUUUUCCCCAUCUUGCCUCUGUGUAAUACUGAAAUAGUUUUUGUAAGCAUACCGCUGCUGUGUUUACAGCGGUAACCUAUUGAAUGCUGUAUUGCUGCUGUUCCAUAAGCGCCACCUGCUGCCAGAGAGUGAAUUUGCGCUCUCACGCAGCCCAUCUACUGUAUUUGAUUCCUGCAGAUGUUUUUAUGUAGCAUA